rnacentral:rRNA from 1 species
AUUGAACGCUGGCGGCAGGCCUAACACAUGAAAGUCGAGCGGAGCGGCGGAAGGGUGAGUAAUGUAUGGGGAUCUGCCCGAUAGCGGGGGAUAACUACUGGAAACGGUGGCAAAUCCCGCAUAAUAUCGGAUGAACCCAUAUGGGAUUAGCUAGUAGGGGGGGUAAAGGCUCACCUAGGCGACGAUCUCUAGCUGGUCUGAGAGGAUGAUCAGUCACACUGGAACUGAGACACGGUCCAGACUCCUACGGGAGGCAGCAGUUGGGAAUAUUGUACAAUGGGCGAAAGCCUGAUCCAGCCAUGCCGCGUGUGGGAAGAAGGUCUUCGGAUUUUAAAGCACUUUAAGUUGGGAGGCGUGACCGACAGAAUAAGCACCGGCUAACUUCGUGCCAGCAGCCGCGGUAAUUG